AGAGUUAAUUGACUAAUUCAUUUUUUACUGGACAGAUCUGUAAUGGUGGAUAUUUUAUUAAGCCUCAAACAUUUUUUAGCUCAUCUGUCACGAAGUGACAUGGUGAGCUUAUAUGACCGUGUGAUGUCCGGCGUCCGUAUUGCGUGUGUGUGUGUCCGUCAACAAUUUGUUUGUGUAGACAGUAGAGGUCACAGUUUUCAUCCAAUCUUUAUGAAAUUUGGUCAGAAUGUUUAUAUUGAUGAAAUCUGGGUUGGGAUUGUAUUUGGGUCAUCUGGGGUCAAAAACUAGGUCACUAGGUCAAAAACUAGGUCAAAUAAUAGAAAAAUCUUGUGUAGACAGUAGAGGUCACAGUUUUCAUCCAAUCUUUAUGAAAUUUGGUCAGAAUGUUUAUCUUGAUGAAAUCUGGGUUGGGAUUGUAUUUGGGUCAUCUGGGGUCAAAAACUAGGUCACUAGGUCAAAAACUAGGUCAAAUAAUAGAAAAAUCUUGUGUAGACAGUAGAGGUCACAAUUUUCAUCCAAUCUUUAUGAAAUUUGGUCAGAAUGUUUAUCUUGAUGAAAUCUGGGUUGGGAUUGUAUUUGGGUCAUCUGGGGUCAAAA